rnacentral:rRNA from 1 species
UAGGGAAUCUUCGGCAAUGGACGAAAGUCUGACCGAGCAACGCCGCGUGAGUGAAGAAGGUUUUCGGAUCGUAAACUUUGUUGGUAGAGAAGAACGUUGGUGAGAGUGGAAAGCUCAUCAAGUGACGGUAACUACCCAGAAAGGGACGGCUAACUACGUGCCAC